rnacentral:rRNA from 1 species
AGCAGUCGCCGCGGUAAUACGGAGGAUCCGAGCGUUAUCCGGAAUUAUUGGGUUUAAAGGGUGCGUAGGCGGAUAGAUAAGUCAGUGGUGAAAGACGGUGGCUCAACCAUCGCAGUGCCGUUGAUACUGUUUAUCUUGAAUAUGGAUGAGGUAGGCGGAAUGUGGCAAGUAGCGGUGAAAUGCAUAGAUAUGCCACAGAACACCGAUUGCGAAGGCAGCUUACCAAGGCAAAAUUGACGCUGAGGCACGAAAGCGUGGGGAUCGAACAGGAUUAGAUACCCGCGUAGUCCCUGUCUCUUAUAC